rnacentral:tRNA from 1 species
ACCUGACUGGCUCGGUCAGUAGAGCAUGUGACUCUUCAUCUCAGGGUUGUGAGUUCAAGCCCCAUGUUGGGUA